UACGUAGGGGGCGAGCGUUAUCCGGAUUCACUGGGUGUAAAGGGAGCGUAGACGGCCAAGCAAGCCAGGGGUGAAAGCCCGGGGCCCAACCCCGGGACUGCCCUUGGAACUGCAUGGCUGGAGUGCGGGAGGGGCAGGCGGAAUUCCUGGUGUAGCGGUGAAAUGCGUAGAUAUCAGGAGGAACACCGGCGGCGAAGGCGGCCUGCUGGACUGCGACUGACGUUGAGGCUCGAAAGCGUGGGGAGCGAACAGG
rnacentral:rRNA from 1 species